rnacentral:lncRNA from 1 species
GCUUGAUGGAAAUGCUUAUGCAUGACUUUGGUGAGACUAAGUGCAUGCUUAACACCUAGGGUGUUACAGUACUCUUGCUGGUAUCUUGUAAUUAUGUCCUUUUAUGGAAUUAAAUUUAUAAAUGCCUUGUUAUUGAAUGUUUAGUGGUCAACAUGUGAUGUUCUGGUAAUCUUAGGUUAUGAUUGUGCUUGUAAGCCAUUUGGUUGACACUAAAUAUGUUUUUGCUAUGUCAUCAAAUAAUUAAUUAAAGGUUUUAUAGCUGUUCUGGACAGCAAGGGAGUAAUCUGACCUUUGCUUGAUGAUAACUUGGUUUUCUGAAAGACUUGUCUAAAUCAAAGAUGUCGUAAACUUUGUGAGCUAGCUGCAGUUUAAAUUUGGGAUCAUUUGGUCCAGUAAUUUAAAAGUUAUGGCUCUUCCAAGUUGGGUUCCAGAACUAAGUGCUCUCUGUUUUUCUGGUACAGAACCUGGAACUUUGUUUAGUUGACCUGUUUAACUUGUGAAUCUUGCUAUGAUGUCUAAAGAUGAAAUGUAAACAAUUUCAUAAGAUUUCCAGAAUGUCCUCAUUCAUAUUUGUUAGAUCUGUAUAGCUUUAGUUAUGAUUGGUUCUUUGAGCUGCGUUGUUAUUUGGUUAUUGCUGUUUAUGGUUUUAACUUGAUGAAUCUUGCUAAGUUAGUUAGUCAUCUUUUGUGAGCUUGUAAUGGGAGUCAUUCCGUAAAUGAGUGUCCAGUGAAGUUCUAAUCAUGUUACAAAGCAUUCAUCCUCAUCUACUAUGCACACAUUUCUUACUCAUCGUGCA